AUGCCGAGCGUCGGCGUGAAGAUCUACAGCGUCUUCUUCAAGCUGCUCCUGCGCCACCGCCUCCAGUCGCUCGCCGCCGCGGCCGCCGCCGACGGGGGCGGCGGGGACGGCGACGCGGCCGCCUUCGGGGUCUCCUGCCGCGCCGACGAGGCCACGGCGCCGGCCAACCCGGCCUUCUCCGCCGCCGACGGGGUCGCCUCCAAGGACCUGCACAUCGACCCCAACUCGGCGCUCUCCGUCCGCAUCUUCCUCCCCACGCCGCCGCCGCACCACCCGCACCUCCUCCACCCGCGCCGCGCCAGCGACCCCGCCGCCGGCCAGGCGGGCGCGCCCUACAGGGGCUACCUCCCGCACGCCGUCUCCUCCCCGCGGGCCGCCGCCUCCGCGCGCCGCAGGCUGCCCAUCGUCGUGCAGUUCCACGGCGGCGGCUUCGUCACGGGGAGCAACUGCUCCGCCUCCAACGACGCCUUCUGCCGGAGGGUCGCCAAGUUCUGCGACGCCAUCGUCGUCGCCGUCGGCUACAGGCUCGCGCCCGAGAGCCGCUACCCCGCCGCCUUUGAUGACGGGGUCAGGGUGCUUAGGUGGAUCGCCAAGCAGGCCAAUCUCGCCAUGAUGAGCAAGGUUGGGGGCGGGGUGGACACGUUCGGUGCCUCCACCGUCGAGCCCUGGAUCGCCGCACAUGGUGAUCCGGCAAGAUGUGUCCUACUUGGUGUAAGCUGUGGUGCCAACAUUGCUGAUUUUGUCACUAGGAAAGCGGUGGAAGAUGCAAAGCAAUUUGACCCAGUCAAGGUCGUAGCACAGGUUCUGAUGUAUCCCUUCUUCAUAGGAAGUGUUCCAACACACUCGGAAAUAAGGCUUGCGAACUCGUACUUCUACGACAAAUCCACAUGCUUACUUGCCUGGAGAUUACUUUUAUCAGAGAAAGAGUUCAGCUUGGACCAUCCUGCUGCCAACCCCCUGGCCCCUGGCAGAGGAGGACCCCCACUGAAAUGCAUGCCCCCAACAUUGACGAUCGUUGCGGAACACGACUGUAUGAGAGACAGAGCAAUUGCUUACUCCGAGGAACUCCGCAAGGUAAAUGUGGAUGCGCCAGUCCUGGACUACAAAGAUACAGUCCAUGAGUUCGCAACACUCGAUGUGUUCCUCAAGACACCACAGGCUCAGGCCUGUGCCGAAGAUAUUGCCAUAUGGAUGAAGAAAUACAUAUCCCUGAGAGGGCACGAGUUCUCGUAUUAG
rnacentral:rRNA from 1 species